UACGUAGGGGGCUAGCGUUGUCCGGAAUCAUUGGGCGUAAAGCGCGUGUAGGCGGUCCGGUAAGUCCGCUGUGAAAGUCGAGGGCUCAACCCUCGAAUGCCGGUGGAUACUGUCGGGCUUGAGUACGGGAGAGGCGAGUGGAAUUCCUGGUGUAGCGGUGAAAUGCGCAGAUAUCAGGAGGAACACCGAUGGCGAAGGCAGUGUUCUGGGCCAGUACUGACGCUGAGGAGCGAAAGCGUGGGUAGCAAACAGG
rnacentral:rRNA from 1 species